UCAGGUCGAUCCGGCACACACAGGGAGGGUGGGGGCGAGUGAAGCUGCGCUUUUUCUAAAGAAGUCUGGCCUCUCGGACAUUAUCCUUGGGAAGAUAUGGGACUUGGCCGAUCCAGAAGGUAAAGGGUUCUUGGACAAACAGGGUUUCUAUGUUGCACUGAGACUGGUGGCCUGUGCACAGAGUGGCCAUGAAGUUACCUUGAGCAAUCUGAAUUUGAGCAUGCCACCGCCUAAAUUUCACGACACCAGCAGCCCUCUGAUGGUCACACCGCCCUCUGCAGAGGCCCACUGGGCUGUGAGGCCACAGUCAGAAAGAACAAGCCCG
rnacentral:lncRNA from 1 species